GACGAACGCUGGCGGCGUGCUUAACACAUGCAAGUCGAACGCUGAACCCGCUUCGGUGGGGGAUGAGUGGCGAACGGGUGAGUAACACGUGGGCAACCUGCCCCCGGCUCUGGGAUAACUCCAAGAAAUUGGGGCUAAUACCGGAUGUGACCGCUGGCCGCAUGGUCUGGUGGUGGAAAGGGUUUCCGGCUGGGGAUGGGCCCGCGGCCUAUCAGCUUGUUGGUGGGGUAGUGGCCUACCAAGGCGACGACGGGUAGCCGGCCUGAGAGGGUGACCGGCCACACUGGGACUGAGACACGGCCCAGACUCCUACGGGAGGAAGCAGUGGGGAAUAUUGCGAAAUGGGCGGAAGCCUGACGCAGCGACGCCGCGUGGGGGAUGACGGCCUUCGGGUUGUAAACCUCUUUCAGCAGGGACGAAGCGCAAGUGACGGUACCUGCAGAAGAAGCACCGGCCAACUACGUG
rnacentral:rRNA from 1 species